rnacentral:lncRNA from 1 species
GGGCAGGGUACGAUACAGGUCUUCCUCCCUCACGGUUUUGCCCUUUAAAAGACGCCUUCUAAGAGAAGGGUAAUCGAGCCCUCCAUUUAAGACAUGGACAUUUUCGCUAUUCAGUCGAUGUGGGAUUAAAUCUGAGACCCUUUAUUUCUACAAUAAUAGGCAAUGACCCUUCGAAUACAUCUUCUCCUAUGUUCAUGGGCGACCCCAAAUAUAAUUAAUAUAUGCCUAAACUGCCU